rnacentral:rRNA from 1 species
AGUGAACGCUGGCGGUAGGCCUAACACAUGCAAGUCGAACGGCAGCACAGUAGGAGCUUGCUCUUACGGGUGGCGAGUGGCGGACGGGUGAGGAAUACAUCGGAAUCUACUUUUUCGUGGGGGAUAACGUAGGGAAACUUACGCUAAUACCGCAUACGACCUACGGGUGAAAGCAGGGGAUCUUCGGACCUUUCGCGAUUGAAUGAGCCGAUGUCGGAUUAGCUAGUUGGCGGGGUAAAGGCCCACCAAGGCGACGAUCCGUAGCUGGUCUGAGAGGAUGAUCAGCCACACUGGAACUGAGACACGGUCCAGACUCCUACGGGAGGCAGCAGUGGGGAAUAUUGGACAAUGGGCGCAAGCCUGAUCCAGCCAUACCGCGUGGGUGAAGAAGGCCUUCGGGUUGUAAAGCCCUUUUGUUGGGAAAGAAAAGCAGCAGGUUAAUACCCCGCUGUUCUGACGGUACCCAAAGAAUAAGCACCGGCUAACUUCGUG